UGAGUGCACAAGAAGAGAGAGGCAAGAGCGAAAUCAAAGCAGCGUGGAGGAGAGAGAGGCAGAGAAAUCGAGAAGGAACGGGAGAGCCAGACCGAAUCUGGCUCCACCAAUGGGAUCAGAGAGAGGCUGCUCAGCGUCAGGACAAGAUGCCUCCCGAAGUCAGUCCAACACACCCCCUACUUGGAAAUCUAGGGUUUGAAUGCAGCCCCCGAACUUUAAGGCUGGAGACCACAAAACCCUGAGACUGCAGUCAGAGAGGACAAUCAGCAGGAGGCUUGUCUACCACCUUGAACUGAGGAUGGCUGGAAGUUCCCAACAGAGCAUCAGGGAAAUCUGAUGGAAGUAACAGUGACCACAGAGUUGAUACUAUGAUGAAAAGCACAGGUCUUGUAGUCUGAUGGAAACGGAAACAAUGUAACUAUGGUUUUCUAGCUGUGACCUCGGACAAGUGACUCUAUCUCUGAGCUUCGGUUUCUUCAUUUGUGAAGUGGGAUGAUAAUACAGGUUUAUUGUUAUUGUGGAAUGAGAUCAUUAUGUAAAUCACUUAGCUCUGGGCUUGGCACCUGAGAAGUGUCAACCAGUCAGUCUCUGCCCUGCAAAGGUAGGAGGGACAUUUAGAAGGUACUAGUGGAGAAUAAGAAGACUCCAGUUGCUCCUUCUGCAUCUGCUGGGCUGGGGAGAUGGUUCAGAAGUAAGGAGUACUUGCAAAGAACUCAAGUUCUAUUCCUAGCUCACAACCAUCCAGUUUCAAGGGAAUGCCCUCUUCUGGCCUCUGCUGCCGCUGUACACAUGUGGUGCUGUUGUACAACAGUUUCCUCCAAGAUUGAAACAUUCCAUUCUGCAGGGAAGCUCCUUAAACAGGAAGGGAAACAACUCAAAAUAAAUUCAGGAAGUCCCUGAAACUGACCAGAUUCACUGGGCUCCUCUCUGCUAGAGUAAACAAUAAAAGGUGAGACCCUUUGCAGAGGAGGGAAACACAGCUGCAAAGAAGACAGACAAACCAAGAAGCUGCUGAGACAAAAACAGCUGCCUGGAAAAAGCAGAAACCAGCUGAGCUUCUGGAAGAGGUUUAGACCAACCGAGGAACCUGGAAAAGGACACUUUCCAACUGGCUAAGCUGCCUGCAGGCUUUGCAAGCUGCCUUUUCUGCUGGGGUGGGCCUUGGCCAUCAGCUGUCUUUGAGUCAUUUCCACUCCUAUAAGUAACUGCAAUAAAGCUCAUUGGUUCACCAA